rnacentral:rRNA from 1 species
UACGUAGGGUGCAAACGUUGUUCGGAAUCACUGGGCAUAAAGAGCGCGUAGGCGGUCUGACAAGUCCCCUGUGAAAGCCCCCGGCUUAACCGGGGAACUGCAUGGGAUACUGUUGGGCUAGAGUGCAGGAGGGGAGAGCGGAAUUCCUGGUGGAGCGGUGAAAUGACGUAGAUAUCAGGAGGAACGCCGGCGGCGAAAGCGACUCUCUGGCCUGUAACUGACGCUGAGGCGCGAAAGCUAGGGGAGCAAACGGG